GAAAAGGAAAAAGGAAAGAAAGAGAGUUCUUCCCCACGUGAACAUUAAUGUCACCUCUUCUCUAGCGCGUCUCACGAGCCACGCUGCUGUCGCUCAUACCCGUCCGUCGCUUCUUCCAAAUCUUAGUUUGGUGAGUUUGGGUGGGUGUUUUAUUUGGGUCUUUUUAAAUAGGUUUUCAAGUGCUCAUUCAAAUUUAAUUAAUGCUCUAAUUAAGGUUUAUUUUUAAAUUAAUUUAGAGUUUUUCUUGGAAGAAUCAAUAGGAGAUCUUUUGAUUAAAUUCUUAGUUUUCUCCCAAAAUUAGAAUUGACUUCAACUCUCAUCUUGGGUAACUUAAUGGGAGAUUGAUUUGGGCAGUAAAAUUAUUAAUUAUUUUCCUUAUCAUUAGGUUAAUUGGGUGGUUUAAUUUCCAUCCACCAAUUUUACAAACGAGUUUAAUAUUUCUACUAUCCCACCUUUGAUUUAAUAUUAAAAUUGUUUAGGUACUAUAUGGAUUGACUAUCGAUUAUGCCAUAAUUAAAAUAAAUUGAUAGGCUUAGGUGAGAGUAUGACUGAAAUUGUGUAAUUAUAUAUGGAGAUAAUAAGACAAGCUAGUAAGCUACGAGAAAGACCCGUGACCUACCAUAUCUAGACUUUAUAAUCCUGCUUCUGUUUGAUGUGUUUUUAUUUUUUUUCCACGUUUUCAAGAUUUAUGAGUAUUAUUUCAUGCCAUGAUUGGUAAAUUUUUUUUUUUGUCAUUUUUUUUUAAAAAGCUUUGAACACUUUAUAUUUAUCUUUAAAAUUAGAUAAGAUCCAUAUUAGGUUUAUUUUCUUAGUUUUUUCUUCUUUUUUUUUUUCUAUUUGGUUUGUAAAAAUUUUGUUUUUAGAUGGUUUGUUUUAUGUUUUAUUUAAUAAAAUAAGUAGUAUUUGUUUUGUUUUAAAAUUUUAAAAAUAUUGAGCUCAUGUUAAAUCUAAAUAGUUAGGUCAAAUUAUAGUUACCAAAAGUGCUUUUUAACAUUUUUUUUUAUAAAGAACUACAUAUUUAAAAGCUGGAAAAUUACCAAUCCAUUUGGUGUCUAGGUUCUAUUUAGUCCAUAUAGAUUUCUAUAGACUCUUUUAACUCAUAUAGCCUAAUUUACCAUAUGAUAAUAUAUAUAUAUAUAUAUAUAUAUAUAUAUAUAUAUAUAUAUAUAUAUAUAUAUAUAUAUAUAUAUAUAAAUUGCUAAUAUUCUACACAAAUGUACCAAAUGAACUACAAUAUUACACAAAAAUAUGUCCAAAUUACCAAUCCGCCCAUAUUAUAUUUUUUUAUUGUUUUAAAAUAUACAGAAAUAUUAAUUAUAAUGAGAAGAUUGCGGGUCAUUAAAAUAGGAAAGUGAUGGAACAGUUUUCUCACUUUCCAUAUUCAAAAAAAUCAAAAUCCCUUUCGAUAGUGAAGAAGUUAUUCAACGAUUUCGUUUUCGACAGUGAAGAAGAAGGGUUUCAUCGAUUUCGACAGUAAAGAAGUUAUUCGACGGCCGACCAGUUCCUCUGUUUUUCGACGACCGAAAAAUACCAAGUUAGAUUGUAUAUAUUCAAUACAUAGUAGACAUUUGGUAUAUUACAUAUAUUCAAGAUGUUAGAAAGAUGUUAGACUGAAUAGGCAACGAAACAAAAAAUGAAAUUUUGCAUGUGUUAUAUCUUAGGGUUUAUUGAGGUUUCGGAGUGAAGAAGACAUUUUUUAGGACCGUCACAUGAGGAUUUUUCCUAUAGAUAUUGGGUAUAUCUUAAAUGUUCAUUGGGUAUAUCUUGAAUGUUCUAUAACUAACAUAAUUGUUAGUUUCGUUGAAAAAACCAUCGAAAUAGACUGCAAUACUGGUUAUCCUGACUCACAAAUAUUACAACUAUAGGUUAUUAUAAAAUAUAAUUGUAAAUAAUAUAUGGUAUAUAUUUUAUAAAACAUCAACUAAAAGUAUUAUAUCUCA
rnacentral:lncRNA from 1 species